CAGUGUCCAUCAGUCCAUCUGGUGUAAUAGUGGAGGGAGAUUCAGUGACUCUGAGCUGCAGCAGUGAUUCAAACCCUCCUGCUCUGAUCUUCAGCUGGUUUAAGGAGAAAACAAAGCUCAGCUGUUGGAUCUAGACAGAGUUUCAGUAUCUCCAGCUUUAACUCCAGUCACAGUGGACGCUUCUAUUGUGAGGCUCAGAAUAAACAUGGAUCUCAGAGAUCAGAGUCUGUUUCAGUCACUGUUAAAGGGACUCAGGGAGCUGCUCUGCAAACAGUUACUGGGAUUGUGGCAGGAUUGAUCUUCAUCAUCAUCAUCAUCAUUGUGUUUAUUAAGAAGAAGAAGAGAGAUGGUGGAGCUGAAGUAGUCAGACAAA